rnacentral:rRNA from 1 species
GGGUGCGAUCAUAACAGCACUAAAUCAUCGGAUCCCAUCAGAACUCCGUAGUUAAGUGUACUUAGGCGAGAGUAGUACUAGGUUGGGUGACAUCCUGGGAAGCCCUCGUGUUGCACCCC